ACGUAGGUGGCAAGCGUUGUCCGGAUUUAUUGGGCGUAAAGCGCGCGCAGGCGGUUCGUAACGUCCGAGGUGAAAUCUCCCGGCUCAACUGGGAGGGGUCUUCGGAUACGGGCGGACUUGAGGAGAGCAGAGGUGAGUGGAAUUCUCGGUGUAGUGGUGAAAUGCGUAGAUAUCGAGAGGAACACCAGUGGCGAAGGCGACUCACUGGGCUCCACCUGACGCUGAGGCGCGAAAGCGUGGGGAGCGAACCGGAUUAGAUACCCGGGUAGUCCACGCCGUGAACGAUGGGCACUAGAUGUGAGGGGUAUUGACCCCCCUUGUGUCGUAGCUAACGCGAUAAGUGCCCCGCCUGGGGAGUACGGCCGCAAGGCUA
rnacentral:rRNA from 1 species